UAGGCAAAAGAUGAAAUAGAUGAGGGAAUAGCAACAAGAAACUGAGGCAGCUGUUCUAUGGCUAUAUAAUGGUCCACAUCUCUCGCAGGUACUCACAAACCAAGAGUUUCUUUACUCUUCGAGUCAGAAAAAAAGUAUUAACUACAGUGUCCUAGUACUAUCAUCUGGUCUUGUCAUUUGGACAUAGUGAGGAGUCAAGGCACAAAUUCAAGACGUACAAAGACUCAGCCUUCUCAUAUACGUGGGUGGGAGAAAAGGACAAAGCACUUAUACAGAAGGCACAUCCACAGGUCUCUCUCCAGUAUCUUUCUUUACAGAUGAGGGAGGACAGAUCUAGAACAAAUACAUGUGAUACACUCAAGUACCCAACUGAAGCGCAUCCUUAGUUCUAUGACCUCACAGCUUAACGGAAGAUGCACUAAUACCAACUUCUACGCUCACCAUAAUCACCUGGGUGGAACAGAACGAAGAGAAAACCUUUUCAGAUUUCCCACUUUGGAUCUAAUUUUAAUAGAAGCUGUACGGGACGUUAAGCUCAGGUGCUGAAGGUCUAAAGAAGCCCCCUUAGGCCCAUGUCCCCCAGCAAAGGAGACAGACUAGAAAGGAUAAGAGAGAGAUUAGUCCCUCGAGCACUUAUUUCACACAGAAAACUAUAUGAAGCAAAACGAGACGAAAGUAUUGUUUUUUCUUUUCCCCAGUAGACUACCUAGGGGAGAAAUAAGAGAACUGACCAACUACUCCUUCUUGGAACUCCUGCCACCUCCUCUAAGAACAGGGGAGUGCUGCUCGAGCAAGAAACCAACGAGACCAAUGAGUAAGGAAAUUACAUCCCAUUCCUCUGCUCAAUCCCAUCGGUUCUCCGAGGCAGAGGAACGGGGCCAGCGCUGUCCUUCAGAAGCUCACAUUGCCCAGCGCCCCGUGCAUAAAGAAAAGCCGAUCGGAAGGCCUCUCUCCUGCAGGGCACACGCACGGCGAGCAGCCUCUCCCAGGCUCUCCAUCGCCACGUCCCCGCUCCCACCCACCCCCACCCCCCCAACCAGAACGUCCUAUACCGAAGCACACAGAGCUCCGCCGCCCGACGCUCCACGUCCCCGCGAGGCCGGACGGACAGGACGCAGCCCCGCAGCCCGGCUCGGCUCCACGGGGCUCCGAGCUCAGCUCGGAACGGAACGCAGGGAGAGCCCCGACGUCGCCGCCGCCGCCGCUACCCGUCAGGUCUUUCACGAUCAGCUUCCCACCCCUCAACAAACGCUUCUCAGGGCUCUCAGAUUUACCCAGCGGCACUGCCCUUGACUUACUGGGAUUUUGUACAAAGUUGCUUCGUGUUCCAUAAAAGUCAGCCCAGCGUUCCUUCGGGUGCCUCCCAGGGGCCUUAUACCUGGGUGACCCUGAUGGGAGUGACGGGCAGCCCCUGGAGUACAUCCUGGUUCAGUCACAGCCACCCAGCAGCUCUCCUUACGUGUUACAGCAGGGCGCUCCUCUCUUCCCAGUCAUACAGCAGUGAAUAACGCGGCAAAACCACAGGAUUCCAGCAGGCAAAUAUCCUUCCUCUCCCAGAAGUGCCUCCUGAUGAUUCUUCUUGGAAAUGUCCCUGAUCCAUGAAGCCACUGAAGGAUUUAUUAGGCAAUUUAAACAGAAGCGGUAUACAAAUGAUCGUCGGCUCGGUCUGCCUGACAGGAUAUCUAAGUAGGAUUAUCUCUUCAUAAUGCAUGCUGAAAAUCGGUGUCAGAUGAAGGAUAACUGGUGAAAGCUGGACCCAAAUAAUAUAAUUGCUGUGUCUGUGGAAGGAGUGCUUGCACAUGUAGAACUUGCUUCCUUCAUAAUGCCAGGAUCUUUGAAGAUUCUGUCACGUUUGUAUUUGUUGGCUCCUCCUGACCUGCUCCUAGUGUUCCAAAUACCCACGCUGGGGAAAUAAAUCACUGAAGCAUACAGCAGUGGACUCUGAGAUAAGACAGCUUUAGCAUAAAGCUUCACACCACAAAAACACUGAGACUGCUAUGGGCUAUUGAUAAAGCAGUAUCGCUGUGAAUACAUCAUCUUUUUGUAUUGUUUCCAAAUUAUAUUGUAAACCAGACGCUUAAAUAAUUUUUACACUGCUGAUAUUUUUUUAUUCUAACUUCAUCUAGGACCAGGAUUUCGACACCCCACUUCAAGAACUCUUCAAGAAAUGUUUGGAAAAGGUCCAUGGAAUUGGCCUACGUAAUUUAAGCUCCAUUGGUUCUUCUCUGAUUAUGCCCAUUGCUUUCUCCAAGAACAGUGAAACUAUCCAAAGAGAGGAAGUUUGUGACUGUACGAGUUACUGAGGCCAGAUUUGGACAAAAUGUCUCAUUCCUAAGGGGACAAAAAGUGACCUUGGUCUUAAAGGUUCAAAACCAAAAAUAAAUUUAACUUUUCUAUCGCUCUUCGUAAGCACAGAAAUCUCACAGUUUAACCCCACUCAGUUAAAAUUUUUACUCAUUAUUUUUGUUCUUAAGUAGAAACGAGAGAGAGAAGUGAUGGGAGGACUUAUUUUUGUAAUUGUUUGUUGCUUUUCAAUUGCUUGGGAGGCAUUUAGUACCUUUACAGUGAGGAAAUUGAAGCUCUGUGUUAGAUAAUAUCUGAGCACCUCCCAAAGAUGUGGAAAUUGAAAUCAAAAUAUUAAUCUCUUUUCCUUUCCAACCUGAAGAAAACAAGUUUGAUUAGUUUAUAUCUCAUCUGUUUUUGUUUGUGUGUCUGGGUGUGCUUGAGAAAGAAAGGAGAAACUAAUCCAAAGAUAUGAGUCCUAUAUUUAGCCAAGUGGCAAACCUAAACAACAUUCUUUUCUCUUGUGAAGAGUUCUUCCAGAGUAUGGACCCAGCUCCUGCAAAAAUGCUGCAUCUUGCAUUCUCAAGCUCCCUAAAGUGUCAGCGGUUCACUGGUAUCCAGCUAUCCUGAAAGGACAGGCAAGCUGACAGGGCUGAUUCUCCCAGUGUGUGCUGUGCAAUUCUGAAAAUCUUGCCUCAGUGUGACCUCUGUAAUUUGUUAUGUAUAUCACUUUCUUGCAACAGUGUAGUUUCUACUCAGUGUGGUGCCUGCUACUCCAUAAUGACUGCAGUCCAACCGCGUGCUUUAAUGCUCACAGUGCUGUUGGCAUCUGUGCUUUCCUCCAUGCUUCAUACUCUUGCAAAUGUUCAGCAAACUAUUAGGAAAGCUGUGGUUUGGAGUCAUUGUUUACAGGGCAUAGCUUCAGGUUUAAAGGAGGGGUUUUGGCUGAAUUUCAGAUCUCUUAGAAAUCAACCCUUCCGAGAUACAAAACCGGUAAGGCACAGAGUUGUGCACAUGCUCUUAGGCUGUAGCAGGCUCACUGCUAAGGCUAAGAAGGCAUACCUAGAACCAACAACAAAAGAAACCAGCAACUGUAAUCUGGUUAGUGAAGAGGGCUGAUGAAUAAAAAUUACAGAGGCAAAAAAUAUUGACGUGGGGCUGUUUCAAUAGAAAGGGAUGGAAAGGCUGAGAGGGAUGAUUAAGAGUGACAGUGAUGGGGUGAGGACGCAAUGUAGAGGAAAUCCACCUGAAAUGGCAGUGAAUCCACCUGAAUGUGAUAGGAAAUGCUGUUUCAGUGUUUUAUAAACAGUCUGGGAACACACUGGUAUCAAGACACUUGCCAUAGUCCAUUUCAAGGAUCACCACAGAUUUUAUUUGCUGCUAAGGAUUAUAGUAUCUUCCCCAACUUCUAAGGAAGGGGGAAUGUCGGCCCAGGAAUUUAGCAUCUGUUUGAGUCAGAAUAUAUAGGAAAGAAUAGACCGUAGGAAACAGGAAACACCAACUCACUGGCUUCCCAAAUGUAGCUAGGUGUCACAUACGCCUGUCAUAGUUCGUUUCUGGUGUACCUCUGGGCAGCUCCACAACAGCUGCACAUCUAGAGCCAGACAUCUCUCUGAUGCUGCAUGGCCUUCUCUAAUAGAGGUGGUGUAUUAACACAGUCUAAGGUUACUGAUGCCCUUUUGAAUAGCCUGGUUUUGCCUGACCUGGUAGAGCACUGCUCAUUUACCUGCAGAAUAAUAAUUUCAAAACCAUUUUCAAAGAGUUUGGCAAAGAUUUAUUAAACGUUGUUUUUUCUGUGAAAGACAUUUAGAGUAAUACUGCACCUUGACUAUAAUAAAAAUUCAAUAUAAUUUGUGUCACCAUAGCAACUCAUCAAAGAACUUUAUGGACAAUAGUUAACUUGCAUUUGUAACACCUCUGAGAGGAAGAUAAGCAUAUUUUCAAGAAGCUGUGAUGUAGAAAGGUUAUGGUCAAAGCGACACUUGUUAGUGGUGUAAUGAAAUAGAGUAGCCCAGGCAUGUCGUUCUCAUUACUCGUUCAUGCUGCCAACGUGAUCAGGGAGCCAGCAGGGGCAUGCCGAGUGGCCAGGUUACAUGUGGGAGAAUGACCACUGAGGACUGCUAGAGUAUUGCAAAAUUGAUACCCCUUUCUACUACUCUAAAUGUGCUUGUUUACACCCGCAACAUUCCUCCCGCCCACACAUAAUGUGACAGCCCACCAGCUUUUCUUUUUGCUUCUCUUAUGUCCAGUCCAUAUGAAAUUGUUUCCAAUCCCUCUGAUUUUAAGUACUCAUCUCCUUCCUUUCAAUCCUAAUGAUCGUUACUCCAUGCUCAGUUUGUUCCUGCUUCAAAUCCAUCACUUUCUUCUACCUAAACAUUGCUCUUGAGCCUAUCCAAAAUGUUCCUGCUGAAAUCGCCCAUUGCUCUGCAUUCCUCUCACAGCACCUGCUUUUCUUCUAGCCUCUCAUCUGGUUCAGACCUCUUGUCCUUGCAGACAAAGCCAACUUCCUCAAGUCCAUGUUGACCUUAGGGACAUGGUUGAAGAUUAGAGCCAUGGCUUUGUGUGUAUGGUAGUGAUGGGUUGAUGACUGGACUAGAUGAUCUUAGUGGUUUUUCCCAACCUUAAUGAUUCUAUGAUUGUAUGACUCUAUGAACCGGGCAAAUCUUUAUUUCUCUAUACUUUACUCUUCCUGGAAAUGGUGCCGGCUUUAACAUUUCUUUCAUUGCUCUCACAUUUCUCCCUUUGUGCUUCUCCGUGUAAGACCGAUAUCCAACAUCCUUCCUCAUGCAUGCUAUUCUGAGCCCUGCGGCUUGUGCCACCUCCUCAUGCAGCUCCAGUUAACCAGUAGCCACUGACCCUGCUAUUCAAUUCCCCCAAAGGAAGCUGACUUUGUUGAGGAAGAAAGCAGCUGCAAGAGAGCUAACAUAACUAUGACAUGAGAAAAGCAGGUAGAAAGGGAGAAAAGUUAGUCAGUGCUGUAUCACAGGAGAGGAGUGAUCAGAGCUAAUUUUACUGUGUCCAUUCAGGAGUAAAUUAUCUAGGUAGGAGCUCCCCUGCCAUAUAAUCUAAGUAGAGAGCUGGAAAACAAAUUUGAUAGUUGUGAAUUCUGUUGCGCGUUAUAGCACCUUUGUCUCCUUGCCCUGACUUGAAACUUAACACACUGCAAAACCAAUCAUGUCAUUAAUGCUAGAAGCAAAUGUCUGCAAAACCAGGAUUGCUACCUGCAAGACAAAUGCAUGUAACAAAUGCCUUUUGGAGUGUGAGAUAGAAAGGAAACAAGCUGCCCUACAUUUUGUUCACACUUUCCAGUGGAUGUGUUAAACACUGACACCUCUGUAAAGUGAGAGGUAUGCUGUCCCCUGUAUCUGCAACGCAUUGCCCAUCAGCAAGCAUUCCUAAUGCGCUCCUGCUGCUGUUUCCUGAAGACUUUUUUUUACACGUUCUCUCUUGGCAGUGGGCAGUCUCAUAGUAACUCACUCAGAUGCUCCGAGGGGAAAACAAGCUUUGCACACGGUAAUAAGUGCACCAAUAUACUUCCAAAAAAUUUAUGGAGACCGUCUUUCAUACAGAAAAAACUAGUGUCCUGGCCCCAGCUAGUGACAUCCCUUCCCUGUAAUUUCAUGUUGAAAGCUAGAGCCUUACUGCCAAGUGCUCUUCUCAUCAUCAUUCCAGGCUGGCAGUGUUCGUGAGACUUGGCAGGAGAUAGCAUUUGAUAAGAAUCCUUCUCUGGGCGCUUCAGAGAGGGCACUGUCAUUCAUUUCACUCCCCUGCCAGUUCGCAAGCAUCAGGCCAGCAGGGCGAGUGCAAGAGGAGGAACUGCAUUCCUUUCAGGCUCAUGUAACUCGGAAGCAGCUCCUAUCAUUUUCUUCAGCCACCUCUGAGCCAAAAGCAAGCUUAACACACUUCAGCCCCAAAGGAACGUUUUUAAGGAAAGUUAUAAGCAGAUGAAAAUACAGGGUAUGAAUUGAACAGCCACUUCAACCUGCUGCCAAGCUAUAAUUAGUACUUAAGCUCACACUCUUGCACACACAUACGUGCAGCAGAGCUUAAUAGAUUCCCUCAUUAAUGUUGAGACUCAUGUGCUCGUGCUCUAUGUCUGGGAAAGCUUUACACCCACAUGAAUUUUGAUGUGGAGCUGAAACAAAAAUGUUGAUGCUGGCAAUGCCAACUAUACAGAGUAAAUAGCUGGGUCCAGUCCUGCCAAUGCUGACUUGAAUGGGGCUUCUCACCCAAAAGAAAACCUACGUGUGAAAGUAUUCUCAGGUCCAAGCCUAUGCAGCAAAAGUAAAUCGUGGUUCUCUUCCUCAAAUGAAUAAAGCCAUUUAUGCCAGUGGGUUGAUUUCAAGCCUUGUAUAGGUAGAUUCCAUUGCCCAGUUUUGAUGUGAGAUCUGAAUCUUGCUCACUGUAGUGAGGGAGGCUAUCAGUGUUUGGCUCUGUGCUUCAGAGGUCAGUGACUGCAUUUACACGUGGGCAGGCUUCAUGCUGAUUAAAUCAAACUGCUGUACUGAAAAGGACAUUAACUAAAUGCCUCCCAAUGUCCUGAUGGUGUAUAAGCUAUUCUGAAUCGUAAAAUCAAUAGAGGAUUUGUCCUAAGUCAUUCCAGCACACAGUCGUACAUAAAUGAAAGUGCUUUUCAUUCAGUGAAGUGAAGGAAAUGCAUAAAAGAAGAAAUGAUCUUGAUAUUUACAUUGCUUUGUUUUUCAUGAUCCGAGAAACAAAAAGUUAGAAGUAAUAUAGGAGUGACUGUUCUUGCCUUCUGUGUCAUACUACAUUUCCUAGUUUUAUUUCUCAGAUCCCAAAAAGCAAUGCUUUCUGAGCAGCAGCAGUGAAGGCUUGUCUUGAUAAUGUGCUUCAGCCAUGACCCCUGUCCAGAAGUAAUCGGAUUAUAUGUUCUGCUUGUUUCCUUCACUGAGGCCAGGGACAGAUGCAGGGCAGAUGUGAACGAAUCACAGAAACAUAGAAUCAUAGCAUCAUUUAGGUUGGAAAAGACCUUCAAGAUCACCAAGUCCAACCAUCAACCAGGCCUACUGAGUCCCAUCACCGUGUCCCUUAGUGCCAUGUCCGCUUGUCUUUUAAGUACCUCCAGGGAUGGGGACUCCACCACUUCCCUGGGCAGCCCACUCCAACACUUGACCACCCUCUCCAUGAAGAAAUUCUUCCUGAAGUCCAGUUUGAACCUGCCCUGCUAUAACUUGAAAUCAUUUCCUCAUAUCCUAUCCCUUGUCACCUGAGGGAAAAGCCCAACCAACAGCCUCCUCAGUGCAACCUCCUUUCAGGAAGUGUUGAGAGCAAUGAGGCGUCCCCUCAGCCUCCUCUUCUCCAGACUGAACAGCCCCAGUUUCCUAAGCCACUCCUUGUGGCUCUUGCUUUCUAAUUCCAUCACCAGCUUCAUUGCUCUUCUCUGCAAAUACUUGAGAAACUCUCUGUCCUUCUUGUAGAGAGGAGCCCAAAUCUGAACACAACACUCAAGCUGCUGUCUCAACAGUGCCACAUACAUGGGGACAGUCACUUUUCUAGUCCUGCCAGCCACGCUAUAUCUGGUGCAGGCCAGGAUGCCAUCAGCCUUUGUGGCUAAUGCUGGGAACACAGCUCUUCAUUCGCAAUCCUAUGGCAGGCACACACCUUUCUGCCCACUCAUGGGAUGCUACAAUGGAGGAAGAAAAUCAGGGGAACACAUACUCAUGGUUCUGCCUCAUGUUGUGCAUAUUCUCUGGCUCCCCACAGCUCACAGAAGGGUUUGAGAUACCAGAAAAUAGAGAAGGUGAUAUGCUGGGAACAAGUGAGUUGCCAGCUCUACAGCAGAGUAGUGCGAGAGGGGCUCCAGUAAGGCUAAAGUUCCCUUGGUAAUCAGCUGGUAAAUUCGUAUCAGUUUAAGGCCAGGAAUGAAUCUGGCAACAAACUUAUGUGACUUCAGAUCAGAAGAUGCCUACUGUGUUGGAAGUUGUGUGAUGAGAACCUCUGCACUGGCAACUGGCUGCAGGCCAGCAAAGUCAAUUCCCAUGGAUCACAAAAUCUUGGGAAUCUUUGCUGGCCAUUUUGAUCUGAGAAAAAGGAGCAAAGAGUGGCAGAGGAUCCAUAACUCAUUAUUGAUGCAACCGUCUAUCCAGUUUUUCUUUGGACCACUUCUCCUGUCUUUUUUUGGUAAUCAAUUCAGCCCCCCCUUGUCUUUUCAUACAGUGUCUCUUUUCAUUGGAAAGCCAGACAUACUGGCAGUGCUUGCUACUGUAGGAAUAAAGAAGGAAUAAUGAUCCAAAAGAAAGGAUUAUAGUCUCUGACAUUGCCCUGGGAUACACUCGAGUUGAACACUAACCCUGCAUGUGUUGGUGUUCAUUCUUAACAUUCUCCAAGAGUCUGCUCAUUGUUAAAGACUUCAGGCAUUGCAACAGCAGCUGAGACCUGGGAAGAGCUACAAAAGCAAUGCUGAUGAGCACUCCGUGCACCUGUGUUUUUCAGCCCUCACAAUCCAAAAAACCAGCAAACGAUAAAGAGCAAAAAUGAUUAUCAGAUGCAUCGAAGUGAUUCACAUUACAUAACCCAGCUGGGGGAAACGGGAAAAGAUAAGUCGUUUUAUGCAACAUAUUGUUGACCUGAAAGAUCAGAUCCCUAAAAGAACAUGUAACUAAGAACAGCUGUAAGGAAAAGAGAGCAAUGUAGGCAGGUAAAACCACAGAUCAAAUACUUUGCAGGUCCAUAUUUCAUCGCACACGGUGAAGUUUUCAGAUGCCAGAUUCUGUUCCUAUUGAAUCUAUGGCAAAAUGCCCGCUGACUUCAAACAGAAUUGGUUUUGUCCCUGUAAGCUAAGAGUAUGGCCAGCAAUGCCAAUGCAGAGUAAAAAUAAACUGUGUAGGUGAGAAGGAGGUAGUUGGUACUGCAACAUCAGUGCCUGCCGGAUCUUGAUUCUCUUAUUUUCCAAUUAAGAAAACCAUUUCACACUUGGGACAUUGUACCACUCAUAUUUUAAGGUCUGGAAUAUUUCAAAGCCUGAUGGCUGGAGUGCUCAAGGCGAAUAAACUUUAUUUAGAAAGUAUUUUUUUUUAAAUGAUUAAAUAAAGUGGAAAUAGCAGAAACUUUUUUUUUUUCAAAACAGAUCUUUCUUGCACAGUGUUUUGUCCAGAAAAGGGUUUUAAGCGUUGGUGUUGUUAUUCAUUCACCUUCUCUGUUCCAUUACAUUCUGUUUACAGCAAUUUAUGCAAAUCUAUAUUCUUAAUCCUUAUCCUGAAACUGGAUUUGAUAGAUCUUUGUAACUGUUUGGCAUCUCUUAGCAUUAUGGUAAGUAUCUGAAUGUGAGUCUGUGCAGCCAUGUGAAAGUGAAUCGACAGAAAACAAACCACAAACCUUUUUGCACAAUUUACUUGCUUUGCAUCAAGCCAAGUACAGUCGCCAGCAGUGUAUCUAUCUGUAGUAUUUUGAAAUUAGUUAAAAAUAGGAGGACUGCUGUAUUCUUUAAUUAGCGUAGCUGAAAGUUAGCCAAAUCAGCUUCGGACGCAGCAGGAGACGUACAGUUUGUCCUGAUUUUGUGGGGAAAGAAAAAAUGUAAUGCUUGGCAGAUGAACUGACUAUGCUAACCCAAAAUGUUAUUAAAACAUAGUCGACUAAAUCAAAUAUGUUGGUUUACCAAAGAUUAGUCCACAUAUUUUAACAGAACAGAAGAGCCCAGUUUCAAAGCUGUGGGCUACUGAAAGA